UUUUGCCUCAUCCCAUCUCUCUCUACUAUUCUUCUUCGUUGCCUCCCAUUCCUCCACCGCCUCCACCCUUGCGCCUCCAACACCCUCAACCCUGCGCUGCCUCCACCGCCUUCGUGCCUCUACUGCGAUUUUCCUCCUCUACCAUCUCCACUCGUUGAGUUUAGCGCCACCUCCUCCACCUACACCCUACGUGCCGUCCACUCGUCCACCCCGUCCACCCUCCCUGAGUGAAACUCUAGGAGCGGCUCGAUGCCGAAGUGCGAGCAAUCGUCCAUCUCGAGAUCGAUCUCAUUUUUCGCUGACGGCACUUCGGAGAAGGAGGUGUAGUUCUAGAUUUUCGUGACCUCGCAGAAGAAGAAGCUCGAGUUCUUUUGAUCGGAGUUGCCGAAAGCCCUUUCCACAUGUCAGUUGAUUGUUUUGAAUUGAGUGAAUUUUCGUCUUUUUACUUGAAUUAAUUUAUUUUUGUUUGUGGGUUUGGGAUAUGCAGAUCUCUUAGUUAUAAGGACAAAUUUGGUGACUAUGCAGUUUUCGAUCUCAUUUAUGUUUGGCGAUUAUGCAGAUCGAUCUCAUUUUUGUUUAUUCAUAAUUACGAUUUGAUGUUUUUACAAUUUCGUAAAUUUGAUUCUAGAAUCUUUUUGCUUGGUAAUUAAAGGCAAGAGCUUAUUCAAUCUUGUUGCUUGGUAAUUGAUUCUAUUUUUUCAAUCUUGUUGAUUGGAAGGGGGCAGAUGUGAUUUUGUUAAUUUGAUUAUUUUUUGUGAAUUUGUCUGCAUUUAUUUUAUGCAUUGUAGUUUCAUAAUUUUCGAUUGAUUUUGUUAAUGGGCAAUGAAAAGAAUUUUUGAAAAGAACCUUAUUUGUAGGAAAUAACAAUAAUAAAUUAUCCCUUAAACUCAUUAGAGUAUCCACAGUGGGAGAUUGGACGUCGACGCGCACUGGCCCCGCGCG
rnacentral:lncRNA from 1 species